CUGCGAUGAUGUUUUGAAUUUCUUCACCUGAAGAGCCCUUGAGCAUAAUGUGUGGAUUAAACACAGAGCUUUUUAAAUCUGAGCAGG